rnacentral:rRNA from 1 species
UACGGAGGGAGCAAGCGUUGUCCGGAAUCAUUGGGCGUAAAGCGCGCGUAGGUGGCCCUGUAAGUCCGUUGUGAAAGUCAAAGGCUCAACCUUUGAAAGCCGAUGGACACUGCAGGGCUAGAGUACGGAAGAGGCGAGUGGAAUUCCUGGUGUAGCGGUGGAAUGCGCAGAUAUCAGGAGGAACACCAAUAGCGAAGGCAGCUCGCUGGGACGUUACUGACACUGAGGCGCGAAAGCGUGGGGAGCGAACAGG